GGUUUAUUUGACUUUGUUCAGUUCACAGUAGAAAGCUGUUUAUUCUCAAAGAACAAACCAAGAAAUGAUCCAGAUCUAUGAGACCAUGCAAGGAGGCCUCUCCUAUGAUCACAACCCAGGAAAGUGCCACCAUUAAAACAGAAUGAAGAGCAGUGUGUGUGUGGAUUGGAGACAGAAAUGCGUGCAUGCACUGCUUUUACAUAAGAGACUGUGCUAAUGUUCAGCAAAUUAUGAGUCGAGAGCUGGAGUGAAAUGAUUUUCCUUCAAACGUGCAGCACAUUGAUGUAUAAAGCAGACGGUAAGUGGGAUGCUUUUGACAAG